rnacentral:rRNA from 1 species
GGGUUGUAAACUUCUUUUAUACGGGAAUAAAGUGAGGCACGUGUGCCUUUUUGUAUGUACCGUAUGAAUAAGGAUCAGCUAACUCCGUGCCAGCAGCCGCGGUAAUACGGAGGAUCCGAGCGUUAUCCGGAUUUAUUGGGUUUAAAGGGAGCGUAGGCGGACGCUUAAGUCAGUUGUGAAAGUUUGCGGCUCAACCGUAAAAUUGCAGUUGAUACUGGGUGUCUUGAGUACAGUAGAGGCAGGCGGAAUUCGUGGUGUAGCGGUGAAAUGCUUAGAUAUCACGAAGAACUCCGAUUGCGAAGGCAGCUUGCUGGACUGUAACUGACGCUGAUGCUCGAAAGUGUGGGUAUCAAACAGGAUUAGAUACCCUGGUAGUCCACACAGUAAACGAUGAAUACUCGCUGUUUGCGAUAUACAGUAAGCGGCCAAGCGAAAGCGUUAAGUAUUCCACCUGGGGAGUA